UCUUAUGUACAUGUCUACAAUGUUAACACACCGGAUCCCAUUGGAACUCUGUAGCUAAGCAUGCUUGGGCUAGAGAAGUAUUGGGAUGGGUGACCUUGUGGGAAGUCUGUUGGCAGCC
rnacentral:rRNA from 1 species